CUACGGGCGGCAGCAGUGGGGAAUAUUGGACAAUGGGGGGAAACCCUGAUCCAGCAAUGCCGCGUGUGUGAAGAAGGCCUGCGGGUUGUAAAGCACUUUCGGUUGGGAGGACUGCUUCUAGCACUAAUAUUGUUGGAAGUUGACGUUACCUUCAGAAGAAGCACCGGCUAACUCCGUGCCAGCAGCCGCGGUAAUACGGGGGGUGCAAGCGUUAAUCGGAAUUACUGGGCGUAAAGCGCGCGUAGGCGGCUAGAUCAGUCGGGUGUGAAAGCCCCGGGCUUAACCUGGGAACUGCAUCCGAUACUGUCUAGCUUGAGUACAGGAGAGGAGAGUGGAAUUCCACAUGUAGCGGUGAAAUGCGUAGAUAUGUGGAGGAACACCAAUGGCGAAGGCAGCUCUCUGGCCUGAUACUGACGCUGAGGUGCGAAAGCGUGGGGAGCAAACAGGAUUAGAUACCCCCGUAGUC
rnacentral:rRNA from 1 species